CCUAGUUCAACAUUUUUUUUUGUUUGUUUUCAAAUCCACUUUAUUCAUAUUUGGUAAGAAAAGAAUACUAAUUUAAUAUAGCUUCCUUUAUGGCAAUAAUCCUUGGCUUAGAUGAAACUUGUAAUGGGUAUGUACUUGCUAUGGAGGAGGAUUCAUCACUCUCAAGAUCUGUUGUGGUCACUGCUGCUCCUCCCUCAACAAGGACAAGGUAUUGGGGCGGUGAUGAUUCGUACUAGAAUGUGAAAAAAUAUUACUACCUUGAGUUUCAGCCAUACAGGUGGAACAAUUUAAAAUUGAAGCUCACUUCCAUUUUCUGUAAAUUACUAAUUUAAUUAAUUGUGUGAAAACCGAAAGAAAAAGGCACGUGGGAUGAAGAUAUUCUAGCAGUUCUGCAUAUUGAAAAAGUACUACAAAAUUUUUCACAACUUCUUGUCACAACUGUAGCAUGGCAAAGUCUGAUUGGUGAAAAAAAUGAUGGGUCCAUAUGUAAAUAGUAGUUAACUACUCAUAGUCUACUAGAGUUGUAGCAAAAAAUUUGUGGAAUAAUCUGUGAUCCUAGAACUACUCACGAUUGGCUUGCACUCAAUAUCUGGAACUGGUCUCCCCUUCCUUGGUAGUGAAUGAGUCUGAAUUGGAUGAAAGGCCAAGAGAAUAUCAUUUUCUGGUAGUGAAAUACUGCUGAGAUUGAACUUAAUGCAAAUACAAUUGAGAAGCCACAUUUCUUAACACUACCUAUGGAAGCUGCUUUAAAUCAUAGCUAAGUUAAAGUAAUUAGAUUCAAGGUGGACAAAGAUCCAAUCUUUCUAGGCAUGGUUGGUGGCAUCCAGAGGGCCCUCCUUACCAGAGAUUUGGGCAUAGAGUCUUGUAUGAUGCUGGAAGCUCUGCUUAACUGCUAAACUCUCAUCUAUUAUUCAAGAGUUUUGGGCUCACUCUUUGGUCCUGAUCCAAAAUAAGCUACCUUUAAGUGGAAAUACAUGGUGAAUAUGACAAAAUCAUCUGGUUUCCAAGUCAUAUCCCCAAUCAUGGCUUUAUUAGCUGCUUGUUAGUCAAAGACAGUUUAAUUACCAAGGAAAGGCAGACCAAGUGGGGUUUUUAAUGUCAUUUUUGCAGGCCUAGUCAAGUUUUGUCCUGACUCCCGAGAUCAUCUGUGCUAUGAUUGUUCUUUCACCAAAGAAUGUGGCCAGAAUUUCUCAUUAGUUGCUUGUGUGGUAGAAACUAGAAAGUUGGGAUGUGGAGAUUAGUUUGGCAAUCGAUCAGCUGAAAAGACAAUCUUGAUGCUGAUUUUUGCUGUUUUAUGAGGAGCAAUUAUAAGAACGUGACAGGCUGCCACUGCCGGUGCUACAAUAAUUGAUGUUUACACUUCCCAUUUCACAGUCCCCAACAAAAACAAGGUAGUUAGGUAGGUAUCUGUCUUUUUUUUUUUUUUUUUUGGUAGGUAUCUGUCUCUAAAGCCUCUUGAAUCCUUUGCUUGAUGAAAUCAAAUAUGUUUUGAGUGAA